UACGUAGGGUGCAAGCGUUGUCCGGAAUUAUUGGGCGUAAAGGGCUCGUAGGCGGUCUGUCGCGUCGGGGAGUGAAAACACGGGGCUUAACCCCGUGCCUGCUUCCGAUACGGGCAGACUAGAGGUAUGCAGGGGGAGAACGGAAUUCCUGGUGUAGCGGUGAAAUGCGCAGAUAUCAGGAGGAACACCGGUGGCGAAGGCGGUUCUCUGGGCAUUACCUGACGCUGAGGAGCGAAAGUGUGGGGGAGCGAACAGG
rnacentral:rRNA from 1 species